UCUCUUGUGGUCAUUUGGUGAAUUAUUGUAUUUCUACUAAAACAUUUCUGUUACAAAACUUACACAAAGCAAAGCAGUCUGAGAACAAUUUGCAUGGGUAAAGAUGCCAUUAUGGACAGACAGGUGAAAACUAUACUGAUGCUAACUGAUUAAAUGAUAAAGAUAAGAUGCUCACUGCAACUAUAACAAAUCCAUUUUUUUUGGUGUGACACUUAGUAGUAAAGCCCUUUGAUGUUACUUUUACGUUUUAGCAUUAUGGAUUUUCUUUUCAAGUCUUGUUUUGUUUAUUCUAAAGCUUUACUGAUUAAAAUUCUGAAAGGGUGUGAAAUUUUAAAGAGGACUUCCUAUGUGAGGCUGCUGAUAGGAAAUGUGAGUUUAGACAACCACAGUGCAACAUGACGUGCAGAACUCGCUCACACACUGCAUUAACAGCUACUGAAAGCAGCAGAUACCAGACGGAUGUCAUUUUGAAUUCAGCAGAUUAAUGGAUAACAAUGGAUUUCAAUCAAACUAAGGAUACUUCUGAUAGACUCAAUCUAAUCAACUUUUCAUUAUUCGUCGUGUUUUCCAUCUUUUGGAGUUUUGUUUUUUUCCUGGUAUUCAGUGUCUGCUUGUGUUUGUUUUAUAUUCGGCAGAACAAAA